CCAGACUCCUACGGGAGGCAGCAGUGGGGAAUAUUGCACAAUGGGGGGAACCCUGAUGCAGCGACGCCGCGUGGGCGAGGAAGUAUUUCGGUAUGUAAAGCCCUAUCGGCAGGGAAGAAGAAAUGACGGUACCUGAAUAAGAAGCACCGGCUAAAUACGUGCCAGCAGCCGCGGUAAUACGUAUGGUGCAAGCGUUAUCCGGAUUUACUGGGUGUAAAGGGGGCGCAGACGGCAGCGCAAGCCAGGAGUGAAAGCCCGGGGCCCAACCCCGGGACUGCUCUUGGAACUGCGCGGCUGGAGUGCAGGAGGGGCAGGCGGAAUUCCUGGUGUAGCGGUGAAAUGCGUAGAUAUCAGGAGGAACACCGGUGGCGAAGGCGGCCUGCUGGACUGCGACUGACGUUGAGGCCCGAAAGCGUGGGGAGCAAACAGGAUUAGAUACCCCCGUAGAC
rnacentral:rRNA from 1 species